GAGUUUGAUCGUGGCUCAGAUUGAACGCUGGCGGCAUGCCUAACACAUGCAAGUCGAACGGCAGCACUGGGAGCUUGCUCCCUGGUGGCGAGUGGCGGACGGGUGAGUAACGCGUAGGAAUCUGCCUCAUAGCGGGGGACAACUCGGGGAAACUCGAGCUAAUACCGCAUACUACUCGAGAGAGGAAAGCAGGGGACCUUCGGGCCUUGCACUAUGAGAUGAGCCUGCGUUGGAUUAGCUAGUUGGUAGGGUAAAGGCCUACCAAGGCGACGAUCCAUAACUGGUUUGAGAGGAUGACCAGUCACACUGGGACUGAGACACGGCCCAGGACUCCUACGGGAGGCAGCAGUGGGGAAUAUUGGACAAUGGGGGAAACCCUGAUCCAGCAAAUGACCGCGUGUG
rnacentral:rRNA from 1 species